GACGAACGCUGGCGGCGUGCCUAAUACAUGCAAGUUGAGCGCUGAAGGUUGGUACUUGUACCAACUGGAUGAGCAGCGAACGGGUGAGUAACGCGUGGGGAAUCUGCCUUUGAGCGGGGGACAACAUUUGGAAACGAAUGCUAAUACCGCAUAAAAACUUUAAACACAAGUUUUAAGUUUGAAAGAUGCAAUUGCAUCGCUCAAAGAUGAUCCCGCGUUGUAUUAGCUAGUUGGUGAGGUAAAGGCUCACCAAGGCGAUGAUACAUAGCCGACCUGAGAGGGUGAUCGGCCACAGUGGGACUGAGACACGGCCCAAACUCCUACGGGAGGCAGCAGUAGGGAAUCUUCGGCAAUGGACGAAAGUCUGACCGAGCAACGCCGCGUGAGUGAAGAAGGUUUUCGGAUCGUAAAACUCUGUUGGUAGAGAAGAACGUUGGUGAGAGUGGAAAGCUCAUCAAGUGACGGUAACUACCCAGAAAGGGACGGCUAACUACGUG
rnacentral:rRNA from 1 species